AUGAAACUGCUAGGUCUUCUUAUGACACUGUUUGCUCUUAGCUAUGCAAACUCGGACAAACUCAUUGCUGCAACCUUACGUGAACUUCUGAACAGUCUUAAAAAUCUUGAGAAGCAUGAGUUUAAGGCUUUCGAUAAAUCAGUACAAAUCCAAACACCUCGAGAAAUACAGAAUGCAGAGGCCGUGUGUACAACAUUAAGUCUGAUGGAUGGAAACAGACAGUCCCGCAGCUGCUGGCAGCGUCCUGACGAGAUGGAACAUCCCUAACAACACAGCAAGACCGUUAUCCCAGAAAUUGGACUUCCUCUAUAUAAAGACUUCAAGAUCAAUCAAUUCAUGGGUCUUCCUGUGAAUAACCUGCACUUUUAUGUCCCAUUAGUUAUUUUUUGUUAAAGGUAGAGGCACAUAUCCUUUUCUAACUUAAAGGUGAGAACUAUUAGAACUCUUAUCUAAACAAUAUCAAUGUAGCAUUUAAAGCAGCUAUUUUUAAACAUCAAAUGUCUGAAUCCCCCUUAAAAUAUCGGGGGGUUUUUUACCGACACCUUAUCUAGACUUUGUCCACUACCAAAAAAGGGAGCCAUCAGCUGCAUUGCAAUUACUUUAUUUAUAAACCCCAUCUGGUUAGAACUGGACUAGUCAGAGACACAGACAAGACGUGAUGCAGUCACACAAUACACUACAUAACCCACAUUUUGUGCGUGUUAAUGCAUCACUGAAAUGCAUUCUAUGGAAAAUCCAUGCAUAACACAGUUUAGCCGGUUACUUCCCUGUUUUGUUUUUCAUUGUGGUUGUGAUUUCAGGUUAUCAUCUCAGAAAAAUAUAUUUUUGACACAGACAAAAUGUUCCAUAUAAAAGUACCAAAACAUUUGAUAAGAUGCUAUCUUGACAGUCAUGUGAGUAUUUUGAGGAGGAGUGUGGGGAAGAGAUGGGUUUUGCUGGUUUCCUGCACCAAAAAAAAAAGUGUUUUCUACCAAUACUUUCUGAUUUUUUGCUUCAGACAAACUGUCAGACAGUGCCAGACGGUGAUGACUGAAAUAAUUCAUACAAGUCAGAUAAUGAUUUUGAAACUGCAAGAGCAGCUGGAGGUUGUGUAAAAGCUCUCAACUCAGCCCUCAGUGACUCCAGACAGGUCGUCUGCUUUAAAGCUAUGAUUUAUGGGCUGAUGGUGGCCGAAUCUAAACUCACAGUUCACCGUGCUUUUGAUGAUUCUUCAGGUGUCCACUUUCAUCAAUCCAACCUGAGAAACCAGUAGCCAUGUCUGCAUUGAUCCGAAUCUAAUCCUGACCUUAAUCAAGAAAGAGCCGCAGAGGGAAAUGAUAAACCUUAUAUGGUCAGUUUAUAUACCGAGGCUUUACCAAUCACAUUGGUUAACGAUUUACAUAUGAAAAUUUCUAUUAGUAAACCUAAUUAGUAAUAUUUCCUCUAAAACAUGUUGUUGUUGUUUUCUUUUCGAGUCUAAUAAUCAGUAUUCGGAAGCAGAAACUUUGGUUCUUAGGAAACAGAUCCUAUCCAGGUUUCAGUGACUGAUGUGAUUAUAGUAAUAUAAUAAUUAAAUGCAAGCAUUUAAUGAUGCCUACCAAUAAAUAUGAUGUGCACAAGGAUCAAUAUUUAAAAUAGUGCAUGCAUGCUUAUAAAAAAAAUUAAAAGCUUUUAAAAUGCAUUGGCUGUUAUGAGAAUGUGGGAUCAAAAAAUUAAUUGUCACACUAAAAAGGAAAAAAAGUAACUUUUAAGGAAAAGGAUAUUUAUUGGCAAAGAGAAUGCAUGAUUUUUUUCUGGCAACCAAUGCUUGCUUUGAGUCUUUCAAAGCACUCCAAGAUGAGCCAAGUUGUCGCAUAAAAAAUACACAAAAAAAGUUAAUUUUAUAGCCCAUUAUAUAUCUAAUGCAUGUCUUCUCUUUUAAAAGAGACCUGUUCUCAGGUUGAAUACAAGAGUUAAUUAAGCAGCAUUCAUCUUGAUGACUUCAUGACAGCUGCUAGGUCAGUCUAAUAUCUACUCAUAAUAUAAAGCUUUGCUCGUCAAACCCACCAACAUUGUCUUCAUCAUCACAAAAUUUUCUCUCACACAUUUCAACUAAAUUGCAUGUUUGAUCAAAUUUCAAGAACCACUUUGAGAUUUACAGUGAAAAAAGUAAAAUAUAUUACAUAGGACUUUUUAUCCUACUCUUCAUACCCCCCUCAUGCCAAUGUGUUUAUACUCAACUAAUUAGAUGAUCUACCAUAGUAAUAAUUUGAUCAGCAUUUUAUCUGAUAAGCACAUUAGUUCAACAUAUUACAUGCAUCAUAUAUAAAUAUAUAUGAAAUAUGCUGUGUUGCAUGGCUUUUAAUAUUGCGAAAAUAAUUUUGCAAACAGAAUUAUUACAUUUUGUAACUUAAUAUGCAGAAAUUAGCAUUUUAAUAACGAAACUGUGUUUCUAAGAAGGAUUCCUAACAAAAAGUGACACUGGAUAUCAAAAAUAACAGCGCAAUAGAAAUGCAAAAGCAUGAAGAAACUCAUUUUGUCACUAGGCUAUAGGACUCCCCAUUAGGUGGCCUCGUUGACUUGAUUUAGGUUGUAACAUCUGACAAUCCAAAUAUGUGAGUUUUACGACGCAUUUCCUUAUUUCAGGUAUCAGCAUCAGCAGUGAAAAUAUGCAGCUCUCAAGUGAAUUAAUGGGUUAGAAAUUCAUUCAUACAGUAGCCUACUGAAGAGAAAAAAGUAUAAGAGCAAUAAUAAAAAUGCAGUCAUGUAAUUCAUAUCCUGAGCAUAAACUAAAAUGAACGCAUCAUGAAUCGUUCAAGUUCAAUCGUAAUAGAAUCGCAACAUUAGAGCGCAUUGGAGCAUCAGAGCUCCUCUGUGACUCACAGAGUUUUUUUUUUAAAUUCAGCACCGACUCUAAAACCGGACGACCUACUGUUAGAGUAAAUUCUCAAGCCCCUCGGGCUCGGACACGGCACAUCUCGGUGUGAAGCGCGUUGGUCAUGUCACUCGGCAUCGGGUCUCACCGAUCGCGCAAACGACGCGCAUUGCUCAACCUCAAAAAAGAACACAUUCAUUUCUGCAGCAUGAAGAUGCGCUGGAGUCAUUCAUCGAGGACGGACACGAAGCAAGUUUUCUUUCCUGUUUAUUCAAAUGAAUCGUUUUAAGGACAGGGCGGUUCAAAGAGCAAACAGUGCAACGUUUAUUCGGAUAAAUGCGAAACGAAGCGCUUCAGUAUCAUCGAACAGGUCAGUUUAAUAUUAGUUUUGUCCCUUUGUUGACACACAGAAAUGCAGGAACAGGUUAUUGGAAUGGAAUCUGAAACGUGUCUUUUAUGAUGUAAGGACUCCAGCACAUCGCCACUAGAUAUAUAAGAGAACUCCGGAUGGGUGAGUCAAAACGUGUGCAAAGUAAUCAAUUAAACUUUGUUUUGAUGGAUGGAGGAUCACUGAUGCUACUACAAGAUGAUUAUGUUUCUCUGAUUGGCAUGCCAGUAUAACUGGACGCUGGAAUGCAGGAAAGUGUUUUGUGCAAUGGAGUAUGAACUGGAAAUAUGAAUGUCCCACAGUCAGCGUUACCUGAGGUGUGACAGGUCUGACGGACUAUACGAGUGUUUGAAUACUUUUUA
ensembl:lncRNA